UGUGUUGCUGCAUGUUGGACUCCUGAAUUCAUUAUUAAAACCCCUGUUAACUCUGAUCCUUCGUCGUGCGCUUCAUUCCAAGCCAGCAGCAUCCCGUGACAGAAUGGCUAUGACCAAACAGUUGACGGCCAAGAAACGAGAGCAGAUUAUUGCGCUUCUGAAAAAGCAGAGGGAUGAGCGAAUUAAGAUUGGCUCCAAAAACCCUUUCAGCAUCUGUGGAUGAGGACCAGAAAGAAGUUCAGAAGCUCCAGUAAACAUAUUGAUGAUAUUAAAGAACAUAAUGUGUAAUUUUAGCAUAGUAAACAGAGCAAUGUAUAAGAUGUUUACUUAUGAUGCAGCUAUAUGUGUUUAUCAUAUGCCUAAAAAAUGGUCGGUUUGCCUUCAAAUAUUAAAUAAAGACCAGC